GCGUGAAUCGAAUGCGGUGGAGAUGGCCGAAAUGGGAUUACUUCACGAGGGGUUAAUUAAUGAUUGUGUAAGUGAGAUUCACGUUGGAAUGGUGGAUUUGGGAUGUGAUUCAAAGGAGCAAAGAAUUGAAAUGAAAUGAAAUGAAUUGAAAAGUGAGAGUUGAGUGAGAAGUGAGAAAUAUUCAAGAGCAGCCCAUCUUAGACGGCCCAGAUUCUGUAUAAUUCC
rnacentral:lncRNA from 1 species